UGGGCAGAGACCUGUUCUCCCCUGCAGAGGAAGGCAGGACGUGCUCCAAUGGAGCAAAGCUCAGGGAGCCAAGGUUCCUUUUAGACCGCCCCCCCACUUCUGAACUUUCUCUGCAUUGUGCCACUUCAUUGCCUUCCAAUAUGAGUGAGCCCUGAACUUGGCGGUCUCCUUCAGCCUAGCUCUCCUCCUUUUUGUCCUGCCCUACUUUUAACCCUUUAAUUCUGAACAUGUCACCUGCUGCAGCAAAAAAGGAGCAAGCCUGACGCUUACGCUCCUCGUUUAUUUUCUUGUUGUCGCUGCCAAUGGCAUAGUUGGAAAAAGAAUAGAGUGGCCUAAGUGUCACCAAAAAUAUUUAUUUAUUCAAUUUCUUUAAAAAAGAGGACAAAAGAGGACCUCAAUUUGCAUAACAUUUGCAUGUGCUCUUUUACAUGUGCAGGUGCGAAUUUAGAAAUAAUAGCUAUAAUUCAAAUCGAAUACCGUGCAUCUCGCCUUUGGGAGAAGCCUGUGGCCGAGCCUUCUGCAUGUCUGCUCAGGCUGGCAUUCAGGUGUUCGCCACUGAGGGGCCACUCCAGGGCCUCUGCUCCGCUCUCUGGUAGGGCUUUCUCUUUAAACUGGACUUGGGCUGGACAGCUCUCCAGAAACUGGGCAUGUGGAAUUGAAAGCAGGACUCUGGGGAUCCCGACAGAAGAAGCGUGGCCAUCCUGGCAGACUCCCGCCAAACCACCGUGUUGGACUUCCUGACAGUGCCCCAGUCUGACUCAGUGGGAGCGGCACCGGAACGGAAGCGUGGUGGAGAACACGGAUGAGAACAGGCAUAAAUUUCCAGCAACAGCUGCGAGGCAAUAUAUGGAACUGAGACCUUUGUUAGUAUCUCGCCUUGGUCCUGAUGCCUUUACAGCUUCAGAGCUGCCCGAGUUACGGGGAAUUCUGACUGAGGUGCAACAUUCAUCCGUGUGAAGCCUGGAAGAGAAAAUGACAGACUGCGUUUGGAUGCCUCUGUGUUAAUUUCACAUAUUUGACCAAUAUUUGCAUCCAGUUCUCCUCGAAAAGGGGGGAUCUGUGCUCGGAUAGCUCUGGACACUGACAGAAGGGGCUACCACCGGCCACCGGCCCCGACACUGGAAGUGGCUGCAGGACAAUUCACUGGGAAUGUAUUUUUGCUACAUUGCGUCACUUGGUUGUCAAGCAGAAUUUUCCAAAUGGGUUGGGAUUUAUCCUGAACCCCAAGAGCCAGAGGAGAGGCUGCCCAUAUGGCUUCAUCCAGCUGUUAAGAAUGAGUUCAGAGGCCCUUCCUGAAGUGCCUUCCCAAAGGAGGGGAAGGGGUGGCAAAUGGAAGAAAGUGCCAUGAAAUUGGCUCUCCUCCCGAGGAAACACGCUACUCCUGAGUUGCUCUUCCACAGGACCUUAUUGUUCCAUAACUCUGCACUCACCCAGAGUGAGGUGCUGAGCUCUCUGUCACUCCCCUUCGACUGUCUCGUCUUUAUUUAUUUGUUUGUCUGCUUAUUUCAUUCCACUUCUGUGCCAGCCCAUAACCUGAAGUUUCUCUGGGUGGAUUACAAAUGCUGAAAACAGCAUAUGAAUACAAUUGAUAAAACAGAUAGAAACUAGUAAAUUAUAAACCAUCCCGCAUAAAAAAUUAUAAAGACCACACACAACAUGACAAAAUGCAAACAAUAAAUUAACAGCCAGAAUUAAAAAUAUAAUCAAUGAUAUAAAAUAUAAAUUAUAUUAACCAAAAGCUUGUUGGACCAAAAAGGGUUUAACCUGGUGCCUGAAGGAAAGCAGAGUCGGUGCUCUGUCUGUCCCUGGAGGAGUGCGAGGAACACUUUCCUCUCCCUUGGAAGAGAAAAUGCUCCAGGCAGCAGAGAGUUUUUAUUCUGAAACUUGAUUGCACUAAAGGGAGUUGGAGGGCUUCCUUCCCCUUUCCAACUCUCCGAGCGCAUGUUCGCAUCUCCUAUUUAUGCCCUUUCCCCGUCCGCUUCUCCCUCCUCCUCUCCCUCAUUUGCGGAGGGCCUGGGUGGUCGCGAUCUUUUCCGCCCACCUAUUCCGUGCUGCUCCAAUACCUGUUCUCUCCUCCCAGUUCGUCCGUCCCGUGUGCAUUAUAAUGAGCUUAUUUUCUAUGUGGAGUGUGUUAGUUAAUAUUCAUGAGGCCACUGAGUGAGAGUACCGCUAUUCUGUCUAUGUGCCCGUUCCCUCCUGCUAUCUGAUCCCAGCCCCCUCCCCGUGUGGCUAAGGGAUUUUCUUUGGUACAUUUUCACUCCUCCUGUUUCCUUGUUUCAAAUCAUCCUUGAAUCCCUGUCAGGGAGGAUCCCAGAGUAUGGCCACCACUGCCGAAAAUGCACCCCCCCCCGGCCCUCUAUUCCCCUUUGGUCUGCCAGCCCUGCAGGGGGAGCACUGUGCCAACCCGUCCUAUGCCACCCCCCCGCUUCUCCGUCAACUGAACUUCCCGGCUGUGCGGUCACCUGGCCACGGGCACCACCUGCUCAGGGGGAGGGACCUGUGCCAGGUGGAUGGCUCGGCUCUGCUGUGGGACUGCCCAGACCCCAGCUCUUCCUCCUGGCCGACUCUUGGUGGACCAGGGCUCUUGUCAGCCCCGGGUGUCACCCUCACCUCUUGUUCUGCUGUCUCCCCCACCCCGCAGGUCAGUGGGUCACCUGCCCCCAUCAUCCUGGACUGGACUGGCAGCUCCUCCCCUUGGUCCCCAGACACGGCUUGACCUUGAUCGGAUACCGUGGCUUGCUAAGGUUCCACAACCGUUUCACCUCCACUGUCAGAGCUUGCACCCCGGUCGAAACUGUUCCUUGUGUUUGCACGCUCGGGCACCUUGUGCUGGUGCCGCACACGACGGAAGGGCCUUCUCAGUGCUUGCACCCAGUCUUUGGAAUCGGUUCCUCAGAGAAGUGUGCCUGGCACCCCUUCACAGUCAUUUCGGUGCCAGUCGAAAGCAGCUUCAUUUUCCAGGGAUUUUAAUAACUGAUUGAGUAGUAUUGAAUUAAUCUUAAAAAAUUUAGCUGAUUGAUGAAAUAAAACACACUUUUGAUGAUUUAACCACUAUACUGACUGAGGGUAAAUUUUGCAUUGGCCCCCCUCGCUGUCCCGCUUGCCAAGACUUGCAGCCUCUGCGUCUUCUCCUGAUGAUGCUCCUCAGAGGGAGGUGCCGGGCCCAGAGGGGGCAACUGGCAAGCUUGCAGCACGAUCCCUCCCCCCCCCCGGCAUUUCCUGUGUGCAUCUCACGUUGGUGUAUUAAGUCUCUCUUCAAACCCACACCUGUUCUUAGUUGCUGUUGGUGCAUGAUUUUAACUGUGUGUGUAUUAAAUGUCUUUAAAAUUUAUGCAAUUCAUUUUUUAUGCGCCCAGCUUUGUGAUAAACUGUGAAAGGUGCAUCAUAAAAAUGUAUAAUUGCACUGUAUUUCCCCUCCCCCCAGACACAUGGCUAAAAACACUUUAGUUUAGGAGAGAAAAUGUGGAACGUGCAGAUUGCUUUGUGGCUCCCGUUCGUAGAGCGGACGGGCCUUCGUGGACAGAGCCUGUCCCGGGCAGCGGCAUUCCCAGCAGAGGCGGCCCAAAGAGCCCUGCCAGCUCACAGCUGGCAUCCACAUCCCGGGAACAGCAAGCCAUGGACGCCCGAAGCUGCCGUGUGCCCCCUCUGCGGAGCAGUGCACCGUGCGUUUCGGAAGGAGGGUGAGGGGCUUCCGUGCAGGGAAGCUUUGGCCCGCUGUCCCAGGAGAGAUGCGAUUGGCACAAAUGUUCUGUUUUGCCCGGCCAUGUAAGCAUUUUUAAAAUCAUUGUUCUAUAUUUAUUUAUUUUAAUGCCUCAACUGAAUUGAUCAUUCUGUUUUGUAGGUUUGCUGAUUCAAGAGGGGUGCUUUUUCUCCUUCUAACUGUAUUAAAAAUGUUGGCUUUGUUUUUAAAAUGAUAUGUAUGUUGGGAUUCCUUGUGGGCUGAAGAGUCAUUUAUACAUUAAAUAUUUUUUUAAGAGGUA